UUCGGCGGCAGGUUCGGCGGCCGAAAGUCCCUCCAGAGCCGAAACUCAGCCACUUUCGGUAUUGAACUUGUCCCUUCCUAAGGAACCUGCCCGAUUAGAACUAUUCCCGAAACUCCAAUUCUUUCGCUCGACCCCUCCAGUUGAGAAGUUGGGCCGAGUCGCUCCCCCACUUUGUGGCUUAUUCCACUUGUUAGGUCGGCUAUCCUGGGAACCAGACGAAUCAAUUUUUCUUUUUGAAGAUGGAGGGGCAUAAUCAUUUAGACUUUCCGCUGCUGCAAUGGCUGCGUCCACACUCUUGACUUUUUGCCUCAUCAAGCUAGUCGGCCCCAAGGUUUCAAAUGUGGUAUCAGAGCCAAGGUGGGCUUCCGCAUGGCAUGGUUGCCAUCCCGCCUGAAGAUCCUGGAAGAACAGAGGAGAAGAGGAGUUGUCUUUCCUGGUGUGGAGAACCAGCAGAGUGACUGCGCGUAGUUGAGUUGAGCUUCCUUGGUGGAGGGGAGCAAGGAUUGAUGCUGCGCGUACUGAGGUGCUAUAUCGGACUCACUAGGUGAAGGUGGUGUCCAGAGCAAGUAUUGCGGGGCAACUGAGUGAGCGAGGAUAGGGGUCCUCGGGUGCCUCAACGGGUGGGGCAAGGCAAGGUGAAGCCUGCGUUCCGACGGGAUAGGGACGUCCCCAUUGGCUCGUUGCGCUCGUAGCUUGGGUGAAAAAGCGUCACUUCGGAGAAACAAUGCUGGAAUCAAGUACUUAAUUGAAGGCAUGCUCGAGGGCGAGCAUGGAUUGAGUGGGGGAGAU
rnacentral:lncRNA from 1 species